CAACGCAACUGUGUUGGGAGCGUUUCACCUGGUAGCUUUGAAGGUAGUUUGCUCCAACGCAACUGUGUUGUGAGCAGUAGCUGGGUUCAUCAGCAAAUUGUAGGCUUUCGCCUGGUAGCUAACUUGUGUGUUGUAUUUAUUCAUAUUACUUAAUUGUCUAGCAUUUGCAUUAGCUAGCUAUAGCUGCUAUGUACGGGGAAUGGGUUAGCCUAGCGAUUUUUAGUACUUGCACUUGGUCCUAUGAACAUCAACACCGGCAAAUUCAGAUUUGUAGGACUGCAAAUUUAAAUUGUUGACAAAUUUUCCAUUUCAAUAUUUUGUCAAAUUUCACAAAGUCCAUUCCCAGAUAUCUACAGACUUCAGCAAUGGAGGCAAGUAAGGUUUAUCACUUUCUAUGGCAAUUUACUUGAGUUAAAUUAUUUGCUCUAAAAACAUAUGGUUCUCACUGUACCAUAAUCAUCUUGCUGGAUAUGCCUCAUGCUGUUCUUUAUAUUACUUAUAUGCAAGGAAUUUAAGCAUUGACAAUUAUUUAUGAACGUUGAACCAUGAAAUAAUUGAAUUAUUUUUGUUCAGGGGUAGGGUUUGCCCCUGAACAUUUAAUUUCAAGAUCAGUGUUCUACAGCGUUUGUCAAAUUCAGGACUGGCGCUGGAAGCUGUAGGUGGAGGGAAGACCAGGAAUGGUGCAGCUCUGCAGAUGCUGAAGGGUCCAGUGUGCCAAAGGGUCACGUGUGUUCCUGAUGGGACUGAGGCGACGCAGUCGGAGGUCCCUGCGGUGGCGGUCAGCGGGAGGUGUCAAGACCAACCAGCUCCUCGUCCAGGAAAGGUCACGACGGAAGAGCAGAUGGCUGUGCAGUUGCCAUGGUGGAGAGACCCAGAGUAUGAUGACCGAACAAUGGAUCUACAACGAUGGCCUUCUCCCCAUCCACCCUGAGGAUCCCUGGCUGCACCUACAAUCCAAUCUACCCCAGACAUAACCACUCGGAGAUCAACAACUCCUACAACUCCUCCUGCCUCCUACACACCAUACUGUUACCACUUUACCAUUUUAACUUUAAAACAAAGUACUGUAAUUCACACCAUGUUGUAGGAAAAGCAUGUUUAGCUCAAUGAUUUAUACAUUCUAUUUCUGUGACCCCAACUAUUGUAUUUCUAACCCAGUUACCUCUGAACCCUCUUUCUAAGGGAGCGACUAAAGGGACAAAACUGGAGCAAACCUGAGCUUAACAAUCUUUCUAAUCUUUCUUUCAAAUGUCCUAAAUUGAAACAUAUAAAAUGCCUAAAGUAACUUGUCUAACAAAACAAAAAGCCAACCUAAUACCCAAACUUAACCAUCUAACUAAAGAUCUCAAAUGCCUAAACUCUCUUACCUUAACCGAGUACCUAAACCGAACCAUUUAACUAAACAUCUCAAAGGCCUAAACUCGCUUACCUCAACCUAACCUAAUACCCAAACUUAACCAUCUAACUGAAGAGCUCAAACACCUAAACUCUUACCUUAACCUAGUACCUAAACUGAACCAUCUAACUAAACAUCUCAAAGGCCUAAACUCGCUUACCUCAACAUAACCUAAUACCCAAACUUGACCAUCUAACUUAAAAGCCCAAAUUCUUAAACUCUUACCCUAACCUGGUACCUAAACUUGACCAUCUAACUAAGCAUCUCUAAUAACUAAACUCUUUCCUAAUACCUAAACAAUCUUUAAUACAAUCACUAAUGCCUCAACUUAAACAAACACCAAUAAUAAAAGUUAACCAUCCUUAAUCUUAAACCCAAACCAGACUUGUCCCUGGGUCGCUCCACUUUGUUUCUUUAAAGGCAUCUCUUUUCCCCUGCAUCUGUGUUUUAUUCCUUGAGGACUUCAAGUACUUCAGAUGAUAUUUGAAAACUUGUUUAAUUAAUAAUGACAUUAAUUUGGAGUGUGAAAACGACAGAUGCGAAGUGAUGACCACUUGUGCUUUUCUUAUUACAUUAUGCAUUGUGGCAACUCAUGGAUAACCGGCCAGAA